rnacentral:rRNA from 1 species
GAUGAACGCUGGCGGCGUGCCUAAUACAUGCAAGUCGAGCGAACGGACGAGAAGCUUGCUUCUCUGAUGUUAGCGGCGGACGGGUGAGUAACACGUGGAUAACCUACCUAUAAGACUGGGAUAACUUCGGGAAACCGGAGCUAAUACCGGAUAAUAUUUUGAACCGCAUGGUUCAAAAGUGAAAGACGGUCUUGCUGUCACUUAUAGAUGGAUCCGCGCUGCAUUAGCUAGUUGGUAAGGUAACGGCUUACCAGGGCAACGAUGCAUAGCCGACCUGAGAGGGUGAUCGGCCACACUGGAACUGAGACACGGUCCAGACUCCUACGGGAGGCAGCAGUAGGGAAUCUUCCGCAAAGGGCGAAAGCCUGACGGAGCAACGCCGCGUGAGUGAUGAAGGUCUUCGGAUCGUAAAACUCUGUUAUUAGGGAAGAACAUAUGUGUAAGUAACUGUGCACAUCUUGACGGUACCUAAUCAGAAAGCCACGGCUAACUACGUG